CCUUUGGGCUGCAGGGCAGGCAGGGAGGGAGGCGGGGCGGCGGGUGCUGCUGCCAUCGCUGGGCCGGGCGAAAGGCGGCGGUGAAGGCGCGGGGAGCCGGCCUGGAUCCUCUUCAUCAUCAGGGGAGGCAUAAGGGAUCAGCAAACCGAAGAGGAUUCAAAACCGAUGCUCUAGGUAUCACAGAAGGGUACCGUGAAGGCAGCUGAAUGCCAUUUCUGCCAGAAAUUGGAAGGCGCUGGUGGAGGACUCUCUCCAUUGGGGGGUAUCACACACUGGAGCAGGGGAAGAAUGUGAGAAGCCCUCCCCUGAGGAGGAAGGAACAGCAGAGACGUGAUGAACUGCCCGCAACCCUCCUUCACCCUGCCCCUGUAUUGCUGCGAGGAGGAGGAGGUAGAAAAUUUGAGUGAAGGUGAGCCCAGGAAGAAGGAAGGCAGGGGGCAAAUGUACUGUAAUUUUUAUUUCUCAUUGUCUUACUCUGAGUUGAUUGGUAAUAAAAUAAUUUCUCCAAGUGGAA